rnacentral:rRNA from 1 species
GUAUACGGCCAUGCCACCCUGAACAAGCUCAAUUAUGUCUGAUCUCAGAAGCUAAGCAGGGUCAGGCCUGGUGACUAUUUGGAUGGGAGACCGCCUAGGAAGACUAAGUGCUGUAGGUG